GUGCCAAGAAAAUUUAAUGGGGAAAGAACAGUCUUUGAAACAAAUGGCAAGAGACAACUGGAUAACCACAUGUGAAAGAAUCAACUUGGACUUCUAUCUCACAACGUAUACAAAAACUAAAUCAAAAUGGAUUAAAGGCCUAAAUGAAAGGCCUGAAACUAUAAAACUCCUAGAGAAAAUACAGGAAGAAAGUUCAUGACAUUGGAUUUGGCAAUGAAGCACAGGCAACAGUAGACAAACUAGACUACAUCAAAUUUAAAAGACUUCAGUGUUGCAACAGAAAAAACAGAGUGAAAAGGCAACUAUGGAAAGGACAGAAUAUCUGCAAAUCACAAGUCUGACUGGGGACUUGUAUCUAGAAUAUCUAAAGAACGCUUACAACUCAACAAUAAAGACAAAUAACCCAAUUUAAAAAUAGGCAAAGGAUACACACAGACAUUCCUCCAAAGACGUACAAAUGACCAAUAGCACAUAAAAAGAUACCCAACAUCAAUAGUUAUCAACGAAAUGCAAAUCAAAACCAAAAGACAUCACUUCUGUAUUAACCAUGUCUUUUAUUUUCUGUAUUCUGGCACUGGCAUUUUUGCAGACUUCAUGAUGCUAGAGAGGCUGCUCCCUCGGCCCCCUCAUUUCCCUCCACUCUCAGAACCCCCUCAGGUUUAGAUAAUUCCUAGAAAUAACAAACGUGUCUGGGAGCAUGCCUUUCAUUUGCAAACCAACCAAUCCAGAAUCUAGGCCUCCAACCUCCUCCUUGAAUGGGGUUCUCCCACUCCAGGGCACUAUCCACCUGCCCUAAUCACCCUAGGGCCAAUUAUCAGACAAACAGAGAAAGUCCCUAUGCUUCAGAGCCUGCUGAAAUUAUUUAAACUAGCCAAUCCUAAACCCGCUUACUAUGCCUUGCACAUUCCUUCUCAUAGAAUCCAAAAUACACAUAUUGAACUCGAGUUGGAAGAGGUGAGUCCAGUCUCAAAAUGGAGGGCCAUGAUCCAAAGGAACCAGAGCAGUUGAGAAAACUGUUUAUUGGUAGUCUGAGCUUUGAAACUACAGAUGAUAGUUUAAGAGAACAUUUUGAGAAAUGGGGCACACUUACAGAUUGUGUGGUAAUGAGAAAUCCCCAAACUAAACGUUCCAGGGGCUUUGGUUUUGUGACUUAUUCUUGUGUUGAAGAGGUGGAUGCAGCAAUGUAUGCUUGACCACACAAGGUUGAUGGGCGUGUAGUGGAACCAAAGAGAGAUGUUCCUAGAGAGGAUUCUGUAAAGCCUGGUGCCCAUCUAACAGUGAAGAAAAUUUUUGUUGGUGGUAUUAAAGAAGAUACGGAAGAGUAUAAUUUGAGAGGCUACUUUGAAAAGUAUGGUAAGACUGAAACCAUAGAAGUUAUGGAAGACAGGCGGAGUGGAAAAAAGAGAAGAUUUGCUUUUGUAACUUUCGAUGAUCAUGAUACAGUUGAUAAAAUUGUUGUUCAGAAAUACCAUACUAUUAAUGGCCAUAAUUGUGAAGUGAAAAAGGCCCUUUCUAAACAAGAGAUGCAGUCUGCUGGAUCACAGAGAGGUUGUGGAGGUGGAUCUGGCAAUUUUAUGGGUCGCGGAGGAAACUUUGGAGGUGGUGGAGGUAAUUUUGCCCGUGGUGGAAACUUUGGUGGAAGAGGAGGUUAUGGUGGUGGAGGUGGUGGCAGCAGAGGUAGUUAUGGAGGAGGUGAUGGUGGAUAUAAUGGAUUUCGUGAUGGUGGCAACUGUGGCGGUAGUCCUGGUUAUACUAGUAGAAGGGGCUAUAGUGGUGGUGGACCAGGAUAUGGAAACCAAGGUGGUGGAUAUGGUGGCGGUGGUGGAGGAUAUGAUGGUUACGGUGAAGGAGGAAAUUUUGGUGGUGGUAACUAUGGUGGUGAUGGAAACUAUAAUGAUUUUGGAAAUUAUAGUAGACAACAGCAAUCAAAUUAUGGACCCAUGAAAGGGGGUAGUUUUGGUGGAAGAAGCUCGGGCAGUCCCUAUGGUGGUGGUUAUGGAUCUGGUGGUAGAAGUGGUGGAUAUGGUAGCAGAAGGUUCUAAAAGCAGCAGAAAAGGGCUACAGUUCUUAGCAGGAGUGAGAGCAAGGAGUUGUCAGGAAAGCUGCAGGUUACUUUUAGACAGUCGUCCCAAAUGCAUUAGAGGAACUGUAAAAAUCUGCAACAGAAGGAGCGAUGAUCCACAGUCAGAAAAGUUACUGCAGCUUAAACAGGAAACCCUUCUUGUUCAGGACUGUCAUAGCCACAGUUUGCAAAAAGUGCAGCUAUUGAUUAAUGCAAUGUAGUGUCAAUUAGAUGCACAUUCCUGAGGUCUUUUAUCUGUUGUAGCUUUGUCUUUUUCUUUUUCUUUUCAUUACAUCAGGUAUAUUGCCCUGUAAAUUGUGGUAGUGGUACCAGGAAUAAAAAAUUAAGGAAUUUUUAACUUU